rnacentral:rRNA from 1 species
AACGAACGCUGGCGGCGUGCGUUAACACAUGCAAGUCGAACGCGAAAGGGACUUCGGUCCUGAGUAAGUGGCGCACGGGUGAGUAACGCGUAGAUAACCUGUCUUCGAUGUCUGGAAUAAUACGCCGAAAGGGGUACUAAUACCGGAUAUUCUUGCUUUUCAUAAGUUAUGCAAGCAAAGGUGGCCUCUGCAUAUGCUACUGCAUGAAGAGGGGUCUGCGUACCAUUAGCUAGUAGGUGGGGUAAUGGCCUACCUAGGCGACGAUGGUUAGCGGGUCUGAGAGGAUGAUCCGCCACACUGGCACUGGAACACGGGCCAGACUCCUACAGGAGGCAGCAGUGAGGAAUAUUGCGCAAUGGGGGAAACCCUGACGCAGCGACGCCGCGUGAGUGAAGGAAGGCCUUCGGGUCGUAAAGCUCUGUCAAGAGGAAAGAAGUGUACAAUGGCUAAUACCUGUUGUAUUUGACGGUACCUCUAAAGGAAGCACCGGCUAACUCCGUGCCAGCAGCCGC